GCAACGGAUAUCUCGGCUCUCGCAUCGAUGAAGAACGUAGCGAAAUGCGAUACCUGGUGUGAAUUGCAGAAUCCCGCGAACCAUCGAGUCUUUGAACGCAAGUUGCGCCCGAGGCCACUCGGCCGAGGGCACGCCUGCUCGGGCGUCA
rnacentral:rRNA from 1 species